ACCAGACUCCUACGGGAGGCAGCAGUGGGGAAUAUUGGACAAUGGGGGGAACCCUGAUCCAGCGACGCCGCGUGAGUGAAGAAGUAUUUCGGUAUGUAAAGCUCUAUCAGCAGGGAAGAAAGAAAUGACGGUACCUGACUAAGAAGCCCCGGCUAACUACGUGCCAGCAGCCGCGGUAAUACGUAGGGGGCAAGCGUUAUCCGGAUUUACUGGGUGUAAAGGGGGCGCAGACGGCAGCGCAAGCCAGGAGUGAAAGCCCGGGGCCCAACCCCGGGACUGCUCUUGGAACUGCGCGGCUGGAGUGCAGGAGGGGCAGGCGGAAUUCCUGGUGUAGCGGUGAAAUGCGUAGAUAUCAGGAGGAACACCGGUGGCGAAGGCGGCCUGCUGGACUGCGACUGACGUUGAGGCCCGAAAGCGUGGGGAGCAAACAGGAUUAGAUACCCCUGUA
rnacentral:rRNA from 1 species